GCGCGUCCGCUCCGGCUCCCUGCGCAGCGGAAACAUGGCGGCGGAAAGGGAGUGAGCCGCCCCGCGCCGCCGCUGCGCCAGCAGAUUUCUCCAUCUUGCUAAGGAGGAACGCUUUCCUAUGGGAUAUAGCUGAUGGUACCAUGCAAAAAUCGGAUCCUCGAAAAGCAGGGCAUGAGGAUGAUAAUGACAGACGAAGGAAGCAACAGUGCACAUAAACAGUGAUUGUCUACAAUGGCCAGAUGAGAAAACCAAGGCACGGGGGGUUACGUUACUUGGCCAAGGUUAUACAACUAAUGGAGAAAUUAACAUACAGAGAAACUGACUUGUCAGAGGUCAGAGUAAGGUAUUGGUGGACCCAGGGAUAAAUCCCAAACGUCUUAAUUCCUUGACCAGUUUUAAGUCCAUUGACUAUGCAGCCUAGUGGUGAGAGAGAAUGAAAUCUUAAACUCGCAAUGGGAGCAGAGGAGACGGUCCUUUCAGAGGGAGAACUGACAGAUUUUGAUAACUGGUUGGCUCUGGAGGACAAGAGAGGACAAUUAAGGAGGACUCCAGGUUUCUGAUUUGUCGCUUUUAACUGGGAGAGGAAAGACCGGAGAAGAAAUAUACUGC